rnacentral:rRNA from 1 species
GAUUAACGCUGGCGGCGUGCAUAACACAUGCAAGUCGAACGAUGAAACUUAAAUGAUUUCUUCGGAAUGAACUUAAGUGGAUUAGUGGCGGACGGGUGAGUAACGCGUGAGUAACCUGCCUUACACAAGGGGAUAGCCGUUGGAAACGACGAAUAAUACCCUAUGAAACUAUCACUUCGCAUGAAGCGAUAGUCAAAGUGUUAGCGGUGUAAGAUGGACUUGCGUCUGAUUAGCUAGUUGGUGAGAAAAAAGCCCACCAAGGCAACGAUCAGUAGCCGGCUUGAGAGAGUGUACGGACACAUUGGGACUGAGACACGGCCCAGACUCCUACGGGAGGCAGCAGUGGGGAAUUUUGCACAAUGGGGGAAACCCUGAUGCAGCGACGCCGCGUGAUUGAGAAGGCCUUCGGGUUGUAAAAAUCUUUUGUAUAGGAAGAAAAUGACAGUACUAUACGAAUAAGGUCCGGCUAAUUACGUG